UUUUUUUUUUUUUGGCAUUUUCCAAGUUUUCUUCUUUCAGCAUACAUUACUUUUGCAAUUUGCAAAAUAAUACAUAAUUACACACAAAGAAGAAUGUCAGAAUCACUAAAAAGAAGGAUGAUGAUUUUGAAGUCUUCAACAUGACUCCAAAUGUAUGAAUUCAGCCUUAUUUGAAGAAAUAUUGUCAUUUAACUUUAAAAUUAUACUUCUCCUAUCUAGCUCUUCUAUACCCAGAUCAGUGGUCCCUUAGGUUUCAGUGGAAGUGAGUUAAAUGAUACAUUUUCACUGAGCAUCAUAAGCUGCAUCAAAAUAUGUACAAGCUAUAUAAAAAGAAACAUGAGAGAAUAUCUCAGAAUAAUGCUAUUUUGGUAGGAUCAUUUUUACUGUAUAGUUAAUUUUUUUAAGACUAAAAAUUACUCUUGCAAGAAUAGAAUUUAUACUUCUUGGAAUAAAGCAUAAGUUACCAAGCUCCUGGAAUAGUAUGUCCCAACAAGGCUUUUGUUUGGGAGACAAUAUCCUUGAUUUAUUUUUUAAUUGAAGUACAGUUGAUUUACAAUGUUGUGUUAAAGAGAGACUAUAUCAUUGAAGGAGGAGAAACUGAGAAGGAGACUCUCUAAGGCCACGGGUAUUGAGGAGGCAAAUUUGGCCAGGUCUAAAAUGAUAUAGUGGUAGCAGGCUUGAAAAGUGGCAGAGCCCUCCAUCCCACUCUCAUGGGUGGCUCAGAGCAACAGCAAGAAGUCUCUUGGAUGGCAUGUAGCUGCUGGGGACAUUGAACAUGAACUGCCCUGCCCUGGGAAAUAAUGAAGCUUGGAAAAGGAGCUUCUGCCUUUGUUUUUGUUUUGUUUUGCUUUGCUUUGCUUUUUAGGGCCGCACCUGUGGCAUAUGGAAGUUACCAGGCUAGGGGUGAAAUCAGAGCUGCAGCUGCCAGACUACCCCACAGCCACAGCAAUGCUGGAUUUUUAACCCAGUGAGCGAGGCCAGGGAUUGAACCCAUAUGCUCAUGGAUACUAGUCAGGGUCUUAACCCACUGAGCCACAAGGGGAACUCUGGGAGUUUCUGCCUUUGAACGGACCACUUUCGCUUGGGUGAUAAUGUCUGAAUGUCUCAGUGAUGGACUGAAACUCUAAGGUCUUCCUCAAGUUUUCUGGAUUUUGUAGUUUCUUGAGAUGCUUAGAAGCUCCUGGUUAUGGGAUUAGCUAAAGAAGUUUAAAAAGAUUUGUAUUAACUCACCAUUUGAGGAAGCGGAGCUGAGCAACAAAUUUUCUUUGCACCCAUUCAUGCUAUAGCAAAUUUGUAACUCCUGCACUAUUUGAUCCAGACCGUCUCUGAUUAGAAUGUAAUCAGAGAGCGGGAAAUGAGAUGGUUCUUGGGAGCCCUAGCAAACAAACCGAUUUCCAGAAAAUGGCUCUUUGGUUUAUGAUUCAGAUUACCAUUAACUCUGAAAGUAAGCCUAGGUGUUUCAGUUUUCAGUGACUCAGGCUACAGGAAGAGACCUAUCUUUACAGUCCUGUUUCACUAUAAUCUCUACCACUACGUUUUUGUUGCUCCUUGCAGCCCUGUUUUCUUUAUUAGCACAAAAUUAAAAUGUAUUUUUGUUAGUAUACGAGGGACAUAAAAAACUGUAUGAAAAUAGGAUAACCUCAGAAAGUAACUGACACUGGUUAAUCAACAUAGUUCGUAUCAAUGAAAAGAGGUGCUGGCAUGAGUUUUGCCAAAGGUGUGAAUAAUCACUUGCUAGUGAAGCAGUGACAUUUUCUUGAAGCCCUUAAGGAUGUUGGGAGACCAUAGUCAGAGCAGCUGCACUCAGCUGAUGACCCAGCUGAUGCUGUCCUUGUGUAGUUUCGGCUCAGGGGUGCAGAGGACCUAGUCUUAUUUCUGCUGUGGCAGCAUUGCUGCUAGGAGAGUAUGCAGGGGUGGAGGAAGUGGGGGGAGUCCUCUGUGCUCUCCAGGGAAGCCCAAAUGCCGAAAGGGUAAGGUGGGGUAAUUCUUAUUCAAUUUACGGCGGUGUCCUUCAUCUAACUGUGUAACAGCCUUGUGAAAUAGGACCAGCACCCAGCUGUUCCCAGCAAGUGUAGCAACCUGGCCACAGGUCAGAGUGGCUCCCUAUGGGGACACUCCCUGAGUCAGGAGCAGUGCUUGAUCCCAGCUCAAAAGUAUGUUGCUGGCCCCUGAGGUGUGUGGGUCAUUGAAAAAUGGUAAAUGAUUUGGGUUUGCCUAAUCCAGACGAGCGUAUUUUUUUCCCCUCAAGGAUUAGUAAUCACCGUCUGUUCUUUUAGCUCUUGAUAUCCCUGUAAUUUAAGUGCCUGCCCUUUGCAAAAUAGAUCAAAAAAGCAAGAUAAUUUUCUAGGUUUCCUGACACCAUCCAAACUCCACAAAGCAUCUAACUUUCGCACUUUAUGUUCUUGCUGUUCCUGUGUUUGGAGUUAGGAAAUUAGUUCAUUCUGAGAAAAAAUAAUCCUAGUUAACAUACACAAGAUAAACUGUUUCUGCUGUGGUGCCAGUACUGUGCUCUGAGACUCUCUCGAUCCUAUGUUUCAGCACACAGCCACAAGGUACUGACCCAUCACUCGAUCACUGAGCCUAAAAAAAGAGUACUAGCCUAGUAAAAUGUGCCAUGUACUUUUUUCCCAGUCAUGGAGGAAAUUUUACUAUUCCUGGUAUUUACCAUGUCUUUGUUCUCUCCUCUCUCUUCACUCCUGCUGUUUCCCCAAUGUGCUAUGCAGGCAAUGAAAGAAAUGUUAGGAUGUCUGGUGGCAAAGAGAAAUUUGGAGGGGUGAGCAGGACCAGACCUGGGAGCUUAAUCCCCCAAAGAGUGAGAUUUAGCACUUGGUCCCAAAGACAAUGGGAAACUAUUCAUGAGUAUUAAUGGAGGGUAAAACCUUUACAAAGAAAUCACUCUAGAUUGAAUUUGGGGACCCUUGCUGGAAAACUGACAACUAAUCCAAAUGGAAGAUGACGGGGGGGGCAGGUAAUGGGAAGAACUAGGAGGGUACAAGAGCUAUUUAAGAGGUUUGCAUAAUCAAGAUUGGAGAUUACCCAGGCCAUCUGGAGAUAGAGGGGGGAAAAGAAAGGUAAAUAAUAUUAGCUUUUGUUUAUCAAAUGCUGAAGUGUUAGCCACUUAAUAAACAUUAUCUAUAAUUCUUACGGGGGUCUUCAAGGUGGGUAUAAUGUCUGUCUUACAGAUGAAAAAAUAUGUGUCCCAGAGGUGAAAAGUCACUUCCCCAAAGAAAUUUAGCUUGUGAGUAGAAGAGCUGGGAUUUGGAUUCAGGGCAGUUCUAUGGUCUUUUCAGUCUUGCAAAAGUUGAAGCAAAAGGGAAGACAUUCUAUCGUGACCCAAUUCUCACCUCUUGACACGCUAUAACUUCUUUGUUUACCUCUUGUUUGAUUUCUGUUCUCAACAGAGUAGUGCAAACUCAUUUUAUGUAUUUAUUUUAAAAGUGUGAUUUUUCUCUAAGUGGUUGAUCCAACACCAGGCAAUGGCAUGGAACAACUAGAGAAUUUUAAAGCAAUAUUUUUGGAGUUCCCGUCGUGACUCAGAGGAAACAAAUCUGACUAACAUCUAUGAGGAUGUAGGUUCAAUUCCUGUCCUUGCUCGGUGGGUUAAGGAUCCGGUGUUGCCAUGAGCUGUGGUGUAGGUGGCAGAGGAGGCUUGGAUCUGGCGUGUCUGGCUGUGGUGUAGGCUGACAGCUACAGCUCCGAUUCUAUUCCUAGCCUGGGAACCUCCAUAUGCCGUGGGUAUGGCCCUAAAAAGAUUAAAAAAAAAAUCAAUAUUCUUAAUGUGUGAACAACUGAUAAUUGUGGAAAGCCUUUGAUUUCUUUGUGAACGCUUUCAGAGCACUAUUGAUUCUGUUAUCUUUAAACUUCCAGGGUCAAAGCAAUUAGAACUUUGACUGGAUCUCAUUUCCCCCUUUCACAUCAUGAGCAGAUAUUUCCCUUCCCACUUUGGUCAAGUUACAAAAAACCUCUCUCAGUUUACACAACAGUUGGUCACUAAACAUUGAGAAAUUAUAAUGAAAUAGGUAACUGAUUUUUCAAACUUGGGAUAAAACACAGCCUUGUUUACAAAGAGAUGGAAAGGUUCCCAUUUUAAUUUCUUCAUUCUAGAAGAGUAUUCUAAUUUUGUUUCUCUAUUAAGUAUGACUUUUGGGUUUUAGGUUCAGUACAAUCUUUUUAUUGGCAACAAUGCAAUUGCAUAUGCAUUCAAUUCAUCGAAUUUCUUUCACUGAACUAGAAAACAGUGAUCUCAAUCUGUAAGAUAGCUUUGGUAACAGCACAAAGUGUUGGGGGAAGAGAGAAAAAAUGGUUCAAAUAAGGGAAUGAGAUCAUAUACUUGGAUUGUGUUUCCCCCCUUCUCGACAAACAUUUUACUGUUACCCUUAGCAAGCAAAUAAGAGAAUGUGCUUAACUUCUUGUGAAUUCAUAUGCACACAUUGAAUUAAAGAUGCUCAGCUUCUUCCUUUGGCAUCACUCUAAGUUGUUUAAGAUGCAGUCACACAUCUUCUCACCAUCCCCUGUCCCUCAGGUCAACAUCAUAUCUCUGUGAGGUAGCUGGUUGCUGACAUAGGAAUAGUCUAUUUCCGACUCAAUCAUAUAGGAACCAAACUCACAAACACAGCACCACUUACACAUGCAUCUCACAAUGACCUGACCCAAAGAUGAUGCAGGUUAUUGUUAGAGUCUUACACAUUUAUUUUGCAAAGUAGUUUCCUUGACUGCUGUUUCAAAAUGAUUUUCAGUUAAAGAGUAACUUAGUAAAUUAGAACUACUAUACAAAUAUAGAAUGGCAAAUUUUAACCAGCUAAAAAAAUGAAUGAAUGUUUAACAUCCAGGAAGUUAAGAUACUUAAAGUUUCCUCAUAAGUAUAGUAUCUUCUAGAACGGAAAAGUUUACACACACACACACACACACACACACACACGAGUACUAAUUUUUGUGAAAAAUAAUGGCAAUAAAAAAAACCCUAGAUACAGAAAAGCUACACUUAAAAUAUCUGUCUCAUGUAAGAAAUUCAAUCCACUGCAAGCUGAAUAUCCUGGAUGUACUCUGGUGUGUGAAGUAUGGGUUAGACCUGAAUUUCAUGAUGGGACUAUUGACACAGCUUUUGUCUUCUUCUUCUUCUUUGUUUUUGCCACAUGCAUGGCAUAUGGAAUUUCCAAGGCCAGGGAUUGAACCCUCACCUCGCAGUGACCCAAACCACUGCAGUGACAACAUCCGAUCCUUAACCCACUGAGCCAAAUGGGAACUUCCUGACAUGGCUUUCUAAGGAGUGUCCCUAUCUCCAGUUUCUCUCCCCUAUAACCCACUCUGCAUCCAGAGCAUGCCAAUCUUGAACUCCAGAGCUACAACACACAUAUGACAAUCACAUGUCACCUAUGACUUUAUUGUCUGUUCUGUGGUUUGCUGUCAUAUUGGCUUCCUAUGUGUCAUGAGGCGGCCUUCUUUAAGGCUUCUCCUCUGCUGUCUCAGAAAGAAGCAUACUCAUGUGUACCAUUUGGACAUUCAACAAAACUGGUAAACUCCCUGUAUAAAAAAUGCAUUCCACCUACAAUUAAGGUGUCAGUCUCCUCUCCUGACCACCUGUGUUAAAAUAGGCUUCUGAUAUGCAAAUGAUACAAGGAAGUAAGUAAUACAAACUUACAAAUAAAAACCAACCACAGGAGUUCCCGUCGUGGCUCAGUGGUUAACGAGUCCAACCAGGAAAAAUGAGGUUGCGGGUUCCAUCCCUGACCUCGCUCAGUGGGUUAAGGAUCCAGUGUUGCCAUGAGCUGUGGUGUUGGUUGCAGACAUGCCUCGGAUCCCGCAUUGCUGUGGCUCUGGUGUAGGCUGGUGGCUACAGCUCCGAUUAGAACCCUAGCCUGGGAACCUCCAUGUGCUGCGGGUGAGACUCUAGGGCUAAAAAAAAAAAGACAAAAACAACAACAACAACAAAAAACAACCACAAACUACAGAAGCAUGUGCUUCUUCAAAAUGGGAAAGCAAUUACAAAAGAUAACCUGGAAUUUUAAAGUGAGAAUUUUUUUAAAAAUAAAAAGUGGGAGUUCCCGUCGUGGCGCAGUGGUUAACGAAUCUGACUAGGAACCAUGAGGUUGCGGGUUUGAUCCCUGGCCUUGCUCAGUGGGUUAACGAUCCGGCGUUGCCGUGAGCUGUGGUGUAGGUUGCAGACACAGCUCGGAUCCCGUGUUGCUGUGGCUCUGGCGUAGGCCAGGGGCUACAGCUCCGAUUCGACCCCUAGCCUGGGAACCUCCAUAUGCCACGGGAUCGGCCCAAGAAAUAGCAAAAAGACAAAAAAAAAAAAAAAGUGAACUCAGAAAUGAGACCAUAUGUUUGAGGCACAUAAUUCCUCAUGCCAAUACAUGUAAAAAUUUUUUGAAGGUAUGAUUCAACAUUUCACUAAAGUUAGUAAGGGAAAAAAUUUUCUACUUCAAUUGUCAAGAAAUUGUACAUGAACAGUUAUAUGAUGGAAGAAGAUCUGUGUAACAUUUGGUUAUAAAGUGUAGGAAUUU
rnacentral:lncRNA from 1 species